rnacentral:rRNA from 1 species
ACGGAGGGGGCUAGCGUUGUUCGGAAUUACUGGGCGUAAAGCGCACGUAGGCGGCCGUUUAAGUUAGAGGUGAAAGCCCGGGGCUCAACCCCGGAAUUGCCUUUGAUACUGGACGGCUUGAAUCCGGGAGAGGUGAGUGGAAUUCCGAGUGUAGAGGUGAAAUUCGUAGAUAUUCGGAAGAACACCAGUGGCGAAGGCGGCUCACUGGACCGGCAUUGACGCUGAGGUGCGAAAGCGUGGGGAGCAAACAGG